GGCUGAAAUAUUGUUCAAUAAUUUAAUCAAAACUUAACUUUUCUUUUGAAGUUUGCACCCUCGAGUACUACGUUUUCUUCCCUCUGAAAACAUAUUUCUUCUAGCUAGUAAGUGAGUUUGUAUAUCAAUGUACUUUACGUGUGACUAGAUUAAAUAAAGCGACGGCUUAUAUUAAUUGUAACAUCAGAACUAUGUCAUACUAUUUUUUUUUUACUUUUAUGUCGUUUUCUUUUCCUUUUUGUGUCAACGAGCAGAAUUUUAAGAUUCCAAAAUGUAAGAUGUGAAAAUUUGAUGAUAACUGAAAAUGAUCAUAUAAAACACCCAACAUAACCAGGUAACUUUUGUGUUUCAAUUUAAACAGACAGGCAGCACUAGCUCUGGAUUGUUCACAUAAAAACGCACUCUUGGUCAGUUUCACAAACUUGAGACUGAAAAUUAUAUAACUAUUUGGCUUUCUUUGAUUAUUGUAGCUAGAUACCCCUUAAUUUGAAUUUAGUGUGUAUAUAGUUCACUUUUCAAACAUGACACUUCUAGUUCUUUGACAACAGCAGGCGCGGAUCCAGAGGGGGGGUUCCGGGGGUUGGAACACCCCUUUUUUUGGACGAUCAAUGCAUUUGAAUGGGGACAUGUAAUUGGAACCCCCCCCCCCUUUUUUGUCCUGGGUUAGGAACCCCCCUUUUUAAAAUGGCUGGAUCCGACCCUAAACAGUUUCCAUCUGUAACUCUUAAUGUCCAAUUAGGACUUUUAUUUGUGUUUCUUAUUUUCAAAUUGCAUAAAUUACAUGAUAUAAUGGUAUUCAAUUACAAGCUAGUAGCCUUUCCAUUGGUCGGUCGAAGGCUUGACAAAAAACAAAUCAAAAACUAUAAACAAUCAGUUACAUGUAUCAGUAUCAUAUCCUUGUUUUAGGCCGCUUCGAUGGUCUAGUGACAUUGUUGUCUCCUCGAGCACGAGGUGUCGUGGG
rnacentral:lncRNA from 1 species